UACGGGGGAUGCAAGCGUUAUCCGGAUUUAUUGGGUUUAAAGGGUGCGUAGGCUGUGAGGUAAGUCAGCGGUGAAAUGCCCCCGCUCAACGGGGUGAAGUGCCAUUGAUACUGCCUUGCUGGAAUGCGGAUGCCGUGGGAGGAAUGUAUGGUGUAGCGGUGAAAUGCAUAGAUAUCACACAGAACACCGAUUGCGAAGGCAUCUCACGAAUCCGCAAUUGACGCUGAUGCACGAAAGCGUGGGUAUCAAACAGG
rnacentral:rRNA from 1 species